rnacentral:lncRNA from 1 species
AAAUGUUUAAUUAAAGAGUCUAUUUUUACAUAAAUAUUUGAAAGUUAUCUUUGUAUGCCAUAAAAUAAUGCUUCCCGUUCUUAUGGUACUUUAUAUUUUUCAGGUGAUUUCAUACAGUAUCCUUCACCAGAAUUUGGUUACACAUCGGGGAGCCACUGCUGGUCUUUUAGAAAUGAGAAAACUGAACCCACUAGAGUUUCCCACAAGGCACUCGGCAGCAUUGGGAAGAUCUUCGCCCCUCAAUGGGACCUAUCAGGAUGGACUGCUGCUCGCCUUGGCUUUGAGGUCAUAUGCUAAAUGACAGGGCUGAGACCUCUCCACAGCACAUCUGAUAUUGGGAUCGAUGAAGAUCAGAUGUGCAAAUCACAAUGGGCUCCGGAAAGCCCUAGACUGUGUCAUUCAAGGUAGGAGGAUUUGCUUCUCUGGUAAGCUGUGGAAAGAUCCUCUGUGGAUUAAGACCUUUCGUUUCUCUUAAAGGAUGAAUGGAUAUUAUAAGUCCCAAGGAUUCAAUAAAACCUUUAUAGCCUUAGUAUAGCAGUGUCCGUCAGCCAAUUCUGUGAUUUUACUGUGUUUGUCUUUUGCAAAAAUCCAUGUGAAACCUCAAAUGUUCCUUUUACAAGUUCUUUUGUUACACACACAUGUUUUUGGUUAAAUUAGUGGUGGUUCAAUCUGGAAAAGAUAUCUGUAAUUAGAGUCUUAUUUUUGAAGUUUAAAAGGGGUGGGGGGAAGCACAUAUUCUAUCAACUUUUCCUUACAGUAAAACUUACUCUAUCUUCAAAAGCUGUGACCCAACACAGCAGUUUCUAGGAUCCUCCAGAAGGAAAAUUUUCACUUACUGCCAUAUUGUCAGAAAAACAGGAGGCUUCUAAAAGUUUUCAAGGGUUUUCUUUCUCUCCUCAAAACUCAAGUACGUGCUUGUUAAAUAAUAAUUCAUGUAAUUUGUAAAGUGUGUUAGCUUUCAAAACCCACAUGUUAUUAAAUCUGAUCCUCAAACCAGUAGUUUCACUUAUGUAGGACAGGUAUUAUUAUCAUCAUCAUUAUCAUUUUUUUAAAUAAAGAGAGAGGAGUAGAAAACGCAUGUGCCCUGCCUUUUGUUGAACUAAAAGAGAUAAGGUGAAAACCUCCUAAUGUAGAAAACUAAUUCCUAUUUCUUUUUCUUGUGGAUCCAAGCAUCAAAAGAUAUGAUAUGACAAUGUCUCAACAGGCAGAUGGCAGAAAUAUCACAACUUUAGCAUUCCCUGAAAUAUUACUGGACUACAGAAUCACGCACUCCACAUAAAGAAUCAGGCUACUUUACAGGCUGUGCCACAUUCUUAGCAACUGAGAAGGAAGAUGCUAGAAAAGGGGAAUGCAGGGGUGAAUUCUUUUUCUACUUUAAACAAGUCUUGCCACAGCUUUUUCUCCAAUUCCCAACAUAACCAUUCUGCCACUACUUCCCUAAUACCAUAGCUUGCC